UUAUGAUCUGUAUGAUAUUAUUAUUUCUAUAAUUUAUUUUCAUGAAUUCCCCAAUGGUAAGUAAAAAAGUAAAUGGUUUUAUUUUAAAUGAAUGUAUUGGUUUAAAUCUACUGUUCCAUUGGUUGUUUUGAUUUUCUACCAACCUUUACUUCUGUGACAAUGAUAUAGUGUGAUGUUCUUACUGGGCUAAUGUAGCUCAUUCCUUAUUUAACUAUUUCAGAUCAAGAGAACCUGAUUCCCAAGCCCGAUCCGUAAGAAGACUGCGAGUAGAUGCUAGAUACUUUAUAGUUUUUCUCUGUUUUUCUCAUUUCUUGUGUUUCUUUCAGAGAAUUUAUUUCGUGAUAUUUGUUUAAUACUUUUAAGUUAUUGUGUAAAGGAUGUAAAUCUUAACUUUUUAUUUC
rnacentral:lncRNA from 1 species